ensembl:lincRNA
UUGCUCCUGCGCAAAGGCCUCUGGUUGAAGCCGUUGGUGGGCAGUGCUGCUGCCUGUUCUUGGAGGACUCCUUUGGACCCCGAGGUUGUAAGCUCAAGCGGGUUGUUGUUUCAAAUGAAAAGUUCCUGGGUAUCACACACUUGGUAACACUUCUGCCUAAGAAAUUAAACUCUCAGCUCUCUGUGGACAUUCCCAUUGGCUAAUCUUCACUUGAACAUACAAUACCUAAAAUAAGAAAUCGGUCAGCUUUGAAUAUCUCGGACUUGUUGACAGAUAGUCUCCAUAUUUCAUUUCUAUGACAGUAUUUCUUGAGACAUCUUACUGGAGAAGUGGUGCCCAUGCCUAAGAGACUGAGGGGGCAGUAACACCAAUUGACUCUCCUUGCACCAUAUACUCAGCAGUGGAGGUAGGGGCUUGAGAAGCCCCUUGCCAUGGUCACUAGACGCCUACCAGGAGAACUGUCCAGAGUGAGGAAGUUCUCUAAAUUCCACAUAUAGUCUUCUCCAACAACAAAGGGUCAGGCUCUGGCCCUACUUCUCUGC